rnacentral:rRNA from 1 species
AGUGAACGCUGGCGGUAGGCCUAACACAUGCAAGUCGAACGGCAGCACAGUAAGAGCUUGCUCUUACGGGUGGCGAGUGGCGGACGGGUCAGGAAUACAUCGGAAUCUACUUUUUCGUGGGGGAUAACGUAGGGAAACUUACGCUAAUACCGCAUACGACCUACGGGUGAAAGCAGGGGAUCUUCGGACCUUGCGCGAUUGAAUGAGCCGAUGUCGGAUUAGCUAGUUGGCGGGGUAAAGGUCCACCAAGGCGACGAUCCGUAGCUGGUCUGAGAGGAUGAUCAGCCACACUGGAACUGAGACACGGUCCAGACUCCUACGGGAGGCAGCAGUGGGGAAUAUUGGACAAUGGGCGCAAGCCUGAUCCAGCCAUACCGCGUGGGUGAAGAAGGCCUUCGGGUUGUAAAGCCCUUUUGUUGGGAAAGAAAAGCAGCAGGUUAAUACCCCGCUGUUCUGACGGUACCCAAAGAAUAAGCACCGGCUAACUUCGUG